UAACCUGCCCAAGAGAUCGGGAUAACACCUGGAAACAGAUGCUAAUACCGGAUAACAACAGAUGAUGCCUAUCAACUGUUUAAAAGAUGGUUCUGCUAUCACUCUUGGAUUGGACCUGCGGUGCAUUAGCUAGUUGGUAGGGUAACGGCCUACCAAGGCGAUGAUGCAUAGCCGAGUUGAGAGACUGAUCGGCCACAUUGGGACUGAGACACGGCCCAAACUCCUACGGGAGGCAGCAGGC
rnacentral:rRNA from 1 species